rnacentral:rRNA from 1 species
UUACGAGGUCAGGACACUGUGAGGAUUGACAGAUUGAAAGCUCUUUCUUGAUUCAGUGGGUGGUGGUGCAUGGCCGUUCUUAGUUGGUGGAGUGAUUUGUCUGGUUAAUUCCGUUAACGAACGAGACCUUAACCUGCUAAAUAGUCACGCGAACCGGUCCGCAAGGGCUCAAAGUUCGCGGCUCGACUUCUUAGAGGGACUAUUCGCACCCGCCAGCGAAUGGAAGUUUGAGGCAAUAACAGGUCUGUGAUGCCCUUAGAUGUUCUCGGCCGCACGCGCGUUACACUGACGGAGUCAACGAGCGUUUUUCCUUGCCCGAUAGGGUUGGGUAACCUCCUGAAACUCCGUCGUGAUGGGGAUAGAUCAUUGCAAUUAUUGAUCUUGAACGAGGAAUUCCUAGUAGGCACGAGUCAUCAACUCGCGCCGAUUACGUCCCUGCCCUUUGUACACACCGCCCGUCGCUCCUACCGAUUGAACGGUCCGGCGAGAACUCCGGAUGGUC